ACUCCUACGGGAGGCAGCAGUAGGGAAUCUUCCACAAUGGGCGCAAGCCUGAUGGAGCAACACCGCGUGAGUGAGGAAGGGUUUCGGCUCGUAAAGCUCUGUUGUUAAAGAAGAACACGUAUGAGAGUAACUGUUCAUACGUUGACGGUAUUUAACCAGAAAGCCACGGCUAACUACGUGCCAGCAGCCGCGGUAAUACGUAGGUGGCAAGCGUUAUCCGGAUUUAUUGGGCGUAAAGAGAGUGCAGGCGGUUUUCUAAGUCUGAUGUGAAAGCCUUCGGCUUAACCGGAGAAGUGCAUCGGAAACUGGAUAACUUGAGUGCAGAAGAGGGUAGUGGAACUCCAUGUGUAGCGGUGGAAUGCGUAGAUAUAUGGAAGAACACCAGUGGCGAAGGCGGCUACCUGGUCUGCAACUGACGCUGAGACUCGAAAGCAUGGGGUAGCGAACAGGAUUAGAUACCCUGGUAGGAUAGCG
rnacentral:rRNA from 1 species